rnacentral:rRNA from 1 species
UACGGGGGGGGCAAGCGUUGUUCGGAAUUACUGGGCGUAAAGGGCUCGUAGGCGGCCAACUAAGUCAGACGUGAAAUCCCUCGGCUUAACCGGGGAACUGCGUCUGAUACUGGAUGGCUUGAGGUUGGGAGAGGGAUGCGGAAUUCCAGGUGUAGCGGUGAAAUGCGUAGAUAUCAGGAAGAACACCUAUGGCGAAGGCAGCUCUCUGGGACGGUACUGACGCUGAGACGCGAAAGCGUGGGGAGCGAACAGG